UGCCCUUACUCCAGGAGCACAAAUACUAAAAUGGAAAAACACCAAGAUUAGCAUGGGCCUUGCCCCAAGAUAACACAUAAAUUCAGGAAGAAUUUUAUUCUUUU
rnacentral:snRNA from 1 species